GGUUUAUGUUUCAAAUAAUUUAUUGCCGUAGGAUGGGACUGCGGCCUAUCAGUUUGUUGGUGAGGUAAUGGCCCACCAAGACUAUUACAGGUACGGGCUCUGAAAGGAGUAGCCCGGAGAUGGGUACUGAGACACGGACCCAGGCCCUAUGGGGCGCAGCAGGCGAGAAAACUUUGCAAUGUGCGAAAGCACGACAAGGUUAAUCCGAGUGGUUUCUGCUAAAGGAACCUUUUGUCAGUCCUAGAAACACUGAUGAAUAAGGGGUGGGCAAGUUCUGGUGUCAGCCGCCGCGGUAAAACCAGCACCUCAAGUGGUCAGGAUGAUUAUUGGGCCUAAAGCAUCCGUAGCCUGCUUUGUAAGUUUUCGGUUAAAUCCAUACGCUCAACGUAUGGGCUGCCGGGAAUACUGCAAAGCUAGGGAGUGGGAGAGGUAGACGGUACUCGGUAGGAAGGGGUAAAAUCCUUUGAUCUAUUGAUGACCACCUGUGGCGAAGGCGGUCUACCAGAACACGUCCGACGGUGAGGGAUGAAAGCUGGGGGAGCAAACCGGAUUAGAUACCC
rnacentral:rRNA from 1 species